GGCCUCCUUUCAGCCUUCUGCAAGAACCGGACUCCAUCCGAACCUCCACAGCGGAUGGAUUUCGGACGAGCUUCUAUAACAGAUGGACUCCAACAGCUGGAUUUCUACAACGGUCGAUCACCUCCAGUGUCUGUCGAACCUCUCCAGCUAUCAGCCUUCAAUAGCGUCAGCCAAACUUCCACAAUGCCAUCCAGACUUCCACAG
rnacentral:lncRNA from 1 species